UACGGAGGGAGCUAGCGUUAUUCGGAAUUACUGGGCGUAAAGCGCACGUAGGCGGCUUUGUAAGUUAGAGGUGAAAGCCCGGAGCUCAACUCCGGAACUGCCUUUAAGACUGCAUCGCUUGAAUCCAGGAGAGGUGAGUGGAAUUCCGAGUGUAGAGGUGAAAUUCGUAGAUAUUCGGAAGAACACCAGUGGCGAAGGCGGCUCACUGGAGCUGGUAUUGACGCUGAGGUGGCGAAAGCGUGGGAGCAAACAGG
rnacentral:rRNA from 1 species